UACCAGCACCCCGAGUGGUCGGGACGAUUAUUGGGCCUAAAGCAUCCGUAGCCGGUCCUACAAGUCUUCCGUUAAAUCCGCCUGCUUAACAGAUGGGCUGCGGAAGAUACUAUAGGGCUAGGAGGCGGGAGAGGCAAGCGGUACUCAGUGGGUAGGGGUAAAAUCCUCUGAUCCAUUGAAGACCACCAGUGGCGAAGGCGGCUCACUGGCCCGAUACUGACGCUGAGGCACGAAAGCGUGGGGAGCAAACAGG
rnacentral:rRNA from 1 species